rnacentral:rRNA from 1 species
AGAGUUUUUUCCUGGCUCAGGAUGAACGCUAGCUACAGGCUUAACACAUGCAAGUCGCGGGGUAACAGAUAGGAAAGCUUGCUUUUUUAUGCUGACGACCGGCGCACGGGUGAGUAACGCGUAUCCAACCUGGCCCAUACAACGGGAUAGCCCGUCGAAAGGCGGAUUAAUACCGUAUGCAGUCUCGGGGAAGCAUUUUUGCGAGACUAAAGGAUUGGCGGUAUGGGAUGGGGAUGCGUCUGAUUAGCUUGUUGGCGGGGUAACGGCCCACCAAGGCGACGAUCAGUAGGGGUUCUGAGAGGAAGGUCCCCCACAUUGGAACUGAGACACGGUCCAAACUCCUACGGGAGGCAGCAGUGAGGAAUAUUGGUCAAUGGGCGAGAGCCUGAACCAGCCAAGUAGCGUGAGGGAAGACGGCCCUAUGGGUUGUAAACCUCUUUUUUAUGGGAAUAACGUACGGGACGUGUCCUGCAGUGCAUGUACCAUACGAAUAAGGACCGGCUAAUUCCGUGCCAGCAGCCGCGGUAAUACGGAAGGUCCGGGCGUUAUCCGGAUUUAUUGGGUUUAAAGGGAGCGCAGGCCGUGGGUUAAGCGUGCCGUGAAAUUCCGUCGCUCAACGGCGGACGUGCGGCGCGAACUGGUCCACUUGAGUACGCGGGACGUUGGCGGAAUUCGCCGUGUAGCGGUGAAAUGCUUAGAUAUGGCGAAGAACUCCGAUUGCGAAGGCAGCUGACGGGAGCGCUACUGACGCUCAUGCUCGAAAGCGCGGGUAUCGAACAGGAUUAGAUACCCUGGUAGUCCGCGCGGU